GUGGGGGAUAUUGCACAAUGGAGGAAACUCUGAUGCAGCGACGCCGCGUGAGGGAAGACGGUCUUCGGAUUGUAAACCUCUGUCUUUGGGGAAGAAAAUGACGGUACCCAAAGAGGAAGCUCCGGCUAACUACGUGCCAGCAGCCGCGGUAAUACGUAGGGAGCGAGCGUUGUCCGGAAUUACUGGGUGUAAAGGGAGCGUAGGCGGGCGAGAAAGUUGAAUGUUAAAUCUACCGGCUUAACUGGUAGCUGCGUUCAAAACUUCUUGUCUUGAGUGAAGUAGAGGCAGGCGGAAUUCCUAGUGUAGCGGUGAAAUGCGUAGAUAUUAGGAGGAACACCAGUGGCGAAGGCGGCCUGCUGGGCUUUAACUGACGCUGAGGCUCGAAAGCGUGGGGAGCAAACAGG
rnacentral:rRNA from 1 species